AGAGAGGCUAUUGGCACGAGGGAUGGAAAAGGGCAGAGAGCGGUCUGGGAAAAGCAGGCAUAGGGAAUAGGAAGAACAACAGAGAACCUGUUGAAGGCUCACUAUGCCUGUGCCGUUUAGUCUUGUUUCUGUGGCCCGAGUGCAUACCUGAUGUUUUCCAUCGGUUGGAAUGGGAUGUUUUAUGGGCCACUGUGCCCACCUCACCACUCCGUUGCCAGUUUUCCCCUGGGCUCGCCUGAGGCGGAGGGAAGGAGCGCCACGGAGCCGGCAAGAGCAGCAGCAGAGCUGAGAACAUCAGUGCAGAGUCUACAUUCCAGCCCCGUCUCGGGCAGCGCCUGAAUUCAGGCGAGAGAAAGGUGCAGCCCAGGCCUUGGUAAAGUACUUACAUGAAACACCUACAUGGAAUUUUGAAGCCACCCUUCUGCACAGCUGUCCCUUCUUUGCUGGAUGGAGGGGGCAUGUGGCCAGGAAUGUGGGUAGCUUCUAGGAGCUAAGAGAGGCCCCAAGCUGAUGGCCAGCAGGAAAAUGGAGACCUCAGUCCAACAGUCAAAAGGAACUGAACUCAGCUGACAACUUGAAUAAACUUGGGAGUGAAUUCUUUCCCAGAAGCUCCAAAAAGUAACAACACCUGGAUGAAAACUUAAUUUCAGCCUGCGAGACCUAAGCAGAGGAUCUAGCUAAACUGUGCCUGGACUUCUGACCUACAGAAACUGUGAGAUAAUAAACAGAUGUUGUCUUAGGCCUCUAAGUUUGUGAUAAUUUGUGAUGCAGCAAUAGCAAAUGAAGCAAAUAUGAACUGGAAAAGACCUUGGAGUGAUGACAAGUACUACAGCGUGAGGAAUGGAUGCCUGUGUACUGACUAGGCUGA
rnacentral:lncRNA from 1 species